ensembl:snRNA U6 U6 spliceosomal RNA
AUACUCAUAUCAGUAGCACUUAACAUUAAAAGUGGAAGGAUACAAGAAGAUUAGCAUGGCCCCUAUGCAAGGAUGACAUGCAGAUUUGUGAAGUGUUUCAUGUUAGU